UGGUAGAACGCUUGGGAGCACCGUACGCACGCAGCUCGGCCUUCGGCCUCGCUUUUAGUUACUGGGGGUUGCACGCUUGGGGGUCGGGGUGAAGGCUCCGGGCCUUCGGCCCUCCGCCGGGGUCGGCCUUCGGCCUCCCAGCCUGAAGCUCGCCCUUCGGGCUCGCUUAACCUACUUGGAAAUUUGACUUUGCCCCUGUCCGCCGCCAUUUUGGAUUUUUCCAAAAAACUUUUUUUCAUAUGGUAAUCUUGGCCCCCAGGCUCGCCGCAUGCAAAAUCUCAGCGCGCUCGGACCAACAUUAAAAAAAGAAAAAAAAAAAGUCGGCCAUUUUGAAAUUUUUUUUGAUGCAGUUUUAUUUGUCUCGAGGCCCUCUAUGACAUUUGGUCGAGCACCCCCCACCUAUCACGCACCGUUUGAGAGUUGCCAUACAAAAGUAAACUGGCCAUUUUUCCGCCAUCUUGGAUUUUUUCCAAAAAUUUUUUUUUCCAUAGGAGUCAUUGGGGCUCCGAGAUACCGCGACCGAAAUUUCAGAGCGCUCGGACCUUUUUGAAGUUUUAGAAAAAAAAAAGUCGGCCAUUUUGAAUUUUUUUUUUCUUAUUCAGAUUCCACUCGGAGCCCUCUAUGACAUUUGGUCGAGCUCCCCCGACCUAUCUCUCACCGUUUAGCAUGUGGGGGAUUCGAAAAAAAAUCCCAUACAAAUUUUUUUUCAAGCUAAAAAAAAAAAAAAAAUUUUUUUCGAACGCGGGGGCCCAUAUGUACCCACGUACCGGUUCUCGGCGCUCUCGGACCGUUUUGAAAUUUCGGCGCCAUUUUGAGUCGGCCAUUUUGAAUUUUUUUAAAUGCCAUUUCAUUCGUCUCGGGGCCCUCUAUGACAUUUGGUCGAGCACCCCCCACCUAUCUGUCACCGUUUAAAAGUUGCCAUACAAAAUAAAAGUGGCCAUGGUGUCCGCCAUCUUGGAUUUUUUCCAAAUUUUUUUUUUCCAUACCGAUCUAGAGGGCCCCGAGAUUCCGUGACCGAAAUUUGAGCGCGCCGGGACCGACUUGAAAAUCGGCCGCCAUUUUGAAUCCGCCAUUUUGAAAAAAAAAUGGCGGCCUCCGAAACUGCCCGGGGUCCUCUGUGACAUUUGGUCGAGCACCCCCCCACUAUCUCCCACCGUUUAGCCGGGCCGUCAAACAUUUUUCUGUCCCGAUCCGGUAGACCGGAUGUCGGAUUUUUCCGGAGGUCACCGGACCGCCCCCUGUACGACCGUACCAAACUCGAAUCCCCCCCGCGCCUCCUUCCGGGAGAACAAUUCGUGUCGAUUAACGUUCGGGCUGCAGCUUUAUAUAAUAUAGAAAUUGUUUCUUGCUUCUGUUUGUAUUUGUAUCAUGUAGUAUUUGAUGUUUUCAUUAUUUUUGAAAGUCCUCAGGGUGCCGAUUACGAAAAUGACAUCCAUUAUGGAACCCAAGAUGGCGGACAUUCAUUUUUCUUAAAAAUCGGUAUGGGUGUCAUCUCCGAGGUUCUUCGAGGUACCGAUUACGAAAAUGACGUCCAUUUUGCAAUCCAAGAUGGCGAACAUUAUUUUUUCUUAAAAAUCAAUAUGGGUGUCAUCUCCGAGGUUCCUCGGGGAUCCGAUUACGAAAAUGACGUUCAUUUUGAAAUCCAAGAUGGCGGAAAUUAUUUUUUCUUAAGUCGAUAUGGGUGUCAUAUCCGAGGUUCCUCGGGAUUCCGAUUACGAAAAUGACGUCUAUUUUGAAAUCCAAGAUGGCGGACAUUAAUUUUUCUUAAAAAUCGAUAUGGGUGUCAUCUCCGAGGUUCCUCGUGGAUCCGAUUACGAAAAUGACGUUCAUUUUGAAAUCCAAGAUGGCGGAAAUUAUUUUUUCUUAAAAGUCGAUAUGGGUGUCAUAUCCGAGGUUCCUCAGGAUUCCGAUUACGAAAAUGACGUCUAUUUUGAAAUCCAAGAUGGCGGACAUUAAUUUUUCUUAAAAAUCGAUAUGGGUGUCAUCUCCGAGGUUCCUCGGGGUUCCAAUUACAAAAAUGACGUCAAUUUUGGCGGUUCUUGUUGGUGCAGAUUUCAAAAAUAGAGACCAUUUUAGUAUUAAAGGUGGUUGAUAUCACGGCUACACACAUCGACACCCAUUUCAAAAAGUAGCGUCCUCCAUAUUUAUUUUCAAAAUAGAUGCCAUUUUUGAAAUCCACACCCCUAAAAACCCAGAAAACAACACCCAUGACGACUUUUUCAAAAAAGUGACGUCCGCCAUCUUUAUUUCCAAAAUGGACGUCAUUUGUAAAAUUAGUACCAUACAUCAUACAACAUGAAAACUAAAAACAUUUCCAUCCUCUUUUGGGCAGUUGUGUAAGUCUGUGAUAACCCUAGGUAGGUACGGAGACCUUGAGCGGUGUCGGCAUUUACGCAAACAUCAAAGGCGUCGGCCCACUGUUACUUUUUACACUGUGCUUUUACUGUGUAAACGAAAACGUCACAUGAUAUAUCAAAAGAAAAGUUAUUUUAUCUUAUACCUUUAAACGAGCAAUUCUUGUAUAUAUAUUUCUGUGAUCUCGGAAACGGCUCUAACGAUUUCGCUGAAAUUUGGUAUAUAGGGGUUUUUGUGGGUAUACAAUCUAUCUAGAUUAGUCUUAUGUUUGGGAAAACGCGUGUUUUCGAGUUUUCAUGCGUUUUUCUUUCGACGCAGAAUAUGGUGACUAAUUUCGUGUUGCCGGCCACUGUCCGUCUGGUCCAGCGGGUUAAGACGCGGACUGCUAAACGAGUGUUACGGGUUCGAAUCUCGCCCGGUGACUAACUUUUGUUUUUUUUUAUAUGUUCAAGUUUAUAUAUAAUUUUUUAAUUUUUAUUGUUUUACACAAGUUUAAUUUAGUAAAAAAAAAAUGACCUAUGUAUUAAGAGAAAUCGACAAUAGAUGGCGUUACUCUGUGACAAGUGCUGUAAGGUUAAAAUCGAUUGUAAAUAAUAAUAAUUGUCAGUUCACAUUUUACUUUUUAAGUUUAUGUAGAUUAUCACCACCAUAUUACAAUAAAUAGUUAUAACCGAGCAAAGCUCGGUCGCCCAGGUACUAUAUUACUAACUGUACUAGGUUGCCUUUUUAACAAGUUGGUCCAGUCCAUGGUUGCCUACAUUUUAUAUAAAAAUCGGUUAAUCUAGGCGACCAUUAACUGGACCAACUUUUUUAAUACGGCAACUUUCAAAUAAGCUUUCAUUUGAUAUAUCAUACGAUGAAAUAACAAACAAAAAAACUAUCCGUACGCAAUCUUACAAGGCAACCUAUUUGAAAUGUAUCACUGUGAAUUUUGUCUCACAUUUGUUUCUUAUCAGAAAUAAAUAACUUGAGGGUGCAUAUACCUUAUAACGUAUCUCUAUAUAACUAUCGGUUAUCAAUAUUAGCAUUAGCGGUUAACAACAACAUUCCCCUUAAAACAAAUAACUAUCGCGAGGAAAAUACCAAGUCCAAACAUCUGAAAAAAAUCGGGAAAGAAAAGCUGCAACUGGCUUUUAAAAUGGUACAAGGAAGGGUGGUCAUCUGUAUGAGAAUGUGUUUUUUUGUCUCUAUUUGACCCAAUGGUUGACUGGUAGAGAAUGCCUUUUGGCAUUAAGUCCGCCAUUUGUGUUUUUUUUUUUGUUUGUGCAAUAAAGUUUAAAUAAAUAAAUAAUAUUCAUGUAACGCGAUAACGAAUUCUACGUGAAUGAAACCGCGGGCAAUACCUAUUAUAGUAACAACAAAAUAACAAUUUUCCAUUGCUAUUAAUUUAAAACACGCUUUAGGAAUUUUUUUGAUGGACCGUAGACGCAGUCAAGGGCACCCCGCUCCCCACUACCGUUGUUCGCUGCCUCCUGCCACAGCGCGCGGCGCGCGCAAACUUGCCGCGCGUUUGAAACGUAACGUAUUUAUAUAAGCAAGGAAUGCAUACAUAUCAGUAAUGAGUGUCGCCGUGAUUUUAUAUUUCUAAAUUUUUGCUUAGUAACUGAGAUCAUUGUUGAUGAUCGAUUAUUAUUAACUCUACAAACUUUAAUUCAAUAUCAGCUAUACUGCUUAACCUGAAAUCAAUAUCUAGACAAGCACAUUGUCUACAUGUCUAACUUUUUACUAGAAUACUAAGUUGAUCGAUAAUAUCGUAAUUUUGCAAUAUCAGCAACUCUAAUUCUAUAUUUACAAAAUAACUCGUGUUUUUACGUUUACCAGAAA